UGAGGAAUAUUGGUCAAUGGACGCAAGUCUGAACCAGCCAAGUAGCGUGCAGGAUGACGGCCCUAUGGGUUGUAAACUGCUUUUAUAUGGGGAUAAAGUGGGGAACGUGUUCCCUUUUGCAGGUACCAUAUGAAUAAGGACCGGCUAAUUCCGUGCCAGCAGCCGCGGUAAUGCGGAAGGUUCGGGCGUUAUCCGGAUUUAUUGGGUUUAAAGGGAGCGUAGGCCGUUUGGUAAGCGUGUUGUGAAAUGUAGGAGCUCAACUUCUAGAUUGCAGCGCGAACUGUCAGACUUGAGUGCGCACAACGUAGGCGGAAUUCAUGGUGUAGCGGUGAAAUGCUUAGAUAUCAUGAAGAACUCCGAUUGCGAAGGCAGCUUACGGGAGCGCAACUGACGCUGAAGCUCGAAGGUGCGGGUAUCGAACAGG
rnacentral:rRNA from 1 species